rnacentral:rRNA from 1 species
AAUGAACGUUGGCGGCGUGGAUUAGGCAUGCAAGUCGCGCGACAAGGAACCUUCGGGUUCUGGAGGAGCGGCAAACGGGGUAGUAAGGCAUCGGAACGUACCCUCUUGUUGGGAAUAGCCGCGGGAAACUGCGAGUAAUGCCCAAUAAUCCCUACGGGGCAAAGGUCCGCCGCAGGAGGAGCGGCCGAUGUGAUACCAGCUAGUUGGUGAGGUAAUGGCUCACCAAGGCUUAGACGUCUAGGGGGUGUGAGAGCAUGGCCCCCCACCACUGGGACGUGAGAUACUGCCCACGACACCUACGGGUGGGCUGCAGUCAAGAAUCUUCGGCAAUGGGCGGCAAGCCUGACCGAGCAACGCCGCGUGCGGGA